AAGAGGAAGGCCAUCAGCAGAGAGCUGUAUGACUACUGUAUAAAGGAGAGUUAUGCUGAUAAGAACCUGAUCGCUAAGUGGAAGAAGCAGGGAUACGAGAACCUGUGCUGCCUUCGAUGCAUCCAGACACGAGACACCAACUUUGGAACCAACUGCAUCUGUAGAGUUCCCAAGAGCAAACUGGAGGUGGUGAGUACUAUAGUACUACUACACAAUACUAUAGUACUACUACACUACUACACAAUACUAUAGUACUACUACACUACUAUACCAUAUCAAUACACUCUGCAUCUGUAGAGUUCCCAAGAGCAAACUGGAGGUGGUGAGUACAACUACACAAUACUAUAGUACUACUACACUACUAUACCAUAUCAAUACACUCUACAUCUGUAGAGUUCCCAAGAGCAAACUGGAGGUGGUGAGUACUAUAGUACUACUACACUACUACACAAUACUAUAGUAUUACUACACUACUAUACCAUAUCAAUACACUCUACAUCUGUAGAGUUCCCAAGAGCAAACUGGAGGUGGUGAGUACUAUAGUACUACUACACUACUACACAAUACUAUAGUACUACUAUACCAUAUCAAUACACUCUACAUCUGUAGAGUUCCCAAGAGCAAACUGGAGGUGGUGAGUACAACUACACAAUACUAUAGUACUACUACACUACUACACAAUACUAUAGUACUACGACACUACUAUACCAUAUCAAUACACUCUACAUCUGUAGAGUUCCCAAGAGCAAACUGGAGGUGGUGAGUACUAUAGUACUACUACACUACUACACAAUACUAUAGUACUACUACACUACUACACAAUACUAUAGUACUACUACACUACUAUACUAUAUCAAUACACUCUACAUCUGUAGAGUUCCCAAGAGCAAACUGGAGGUGGUGAGUACUAUAGUACUACUACACAAUACUAUAGUACUACUACACAAUACUAUAGUACUACUACACUACUAUACCAUAUCAAUACACUCUGCAUCUGUAGAGUUCCCAAGAGCAAACUGGAGGUGGUGAGUACUAUAGUACUACUACACAAUACUAUAGUACUACUACACAAUACUAUAGUACUACUACACAAUACUAUAGUACUACUACACAAUACUAUAGUACUACUACACAAUACUAUAGUACUACGACACUACUACACAAUACUAUAGUACUACUACACAAUACUAUAGUACUACUACACUACUACACAAUACUAUAGUACUACUACACUACUAUACCAUAUCAAUACACUCUGCAUCUGUAGAGUUCCCAAGAGCAAACUGGAGGUGGUGAGUACUAUAGUACUACUACACUACUACACAAUACUAUAGUACUACUACACUACUAUACUAUAUCAAUACACUCUGCAUCUGUAGAGUUCCCAAGAGCAAACUGGAGGUGGUGAGUACUAUAGUACUACUACACAAUACUAUAGUACUACUAUACUAUAUCAAUACACUCUGCAUCUGUAGAGUUCCCAAGAGCAAACUGGAGGUGGUGAGUACUAUAGUACUACUACACAAUACUAUAGUACUACUAUACCAUAUCAAUACACUGUACAUCUGUAGAGUUCCCAAGAGCAAACUGGAGGUGGUGAGUACUAUAGUACUACUACACUACUACACAAUACUAUAGUACUACGACACUACUAUACCAUAUCAAUACACUCUACAUCUGUAGAGUUCCCAAGAGCAAACUGGAGGUGGUGAGUACUAUAGUACUACUACACUACUACACAAUACUAUAGUACUACUAUACCAUAUCAAUACACUCUACAUCUGUAGAGUUCCCAAGAGCAAACUGGAGGUGGUGAGUACUAUAGUACUACUACACAAUACUAUAGUACUACUACACAAUACUAUAGUACUACGACACUACUAUACCAUAUCAAUACACUCUACAUCUGUAGAGUUCCCAAGAGCAAACUGGAGGUGGUGAGUACUAUAGUACUACUACACAAUACUAUAGUACUACUACACAAUACUAUAGUACUACGACACUACUAUACCAUAUCAAUACACUCUACAUCUGUAGAGUUCCCAAGAGCAAACUGGAGGUGGGGAGGAUUAUAGAGUGCACCCACUGUGGCUGCCGAGGCUGCUCCGGCUGAAUCGUCAGGAUCAUCGCCUGGCUGUUCUACUCUGGCUCGUCAGGUCUGGAUCGCCUGGCUGUUUUGCUGUGGGGAUCGUCUAGCCUUGCCUGGCUGUUCUGUUCUGGAUCGUCAGUUAUUUUCUACGGGACAUCAGGCUCAUCUACUCCACCUGUGUGCUUCAUUACCUUGGAGCGGCUAAUCUCAAAUACACCCCUACUCUCUAGCCCCUACUCUCUAGCCCCUACUCUCUAGCCCCCUACUCUCUAGCCCCCUACUCUCUAGCCCCUACUCUCUAGCCCCGUACUCUCUAGCCCCCGUACUCUCUAGCCCCGUACUCUCUAGCCCCCUACUCUC